rnacentral:rRNA from 1 species
GUGGGGAAUAUUGGACAAUGGGCGAAAGCCUGAUCCAGCCAUGCCGCGUGUGUGAAGAAGGUCUUCGGAUUGUAAAGCACUUUAAGUUGGGAGGAAGGGCAGUAAGCUAAUACCUUGCUGUUUUGACGUUACCGACAGAAUAAGCACCGGCUAACUUCGUGCCAGCAGCCGCGGUAAUACGAAGGGUGCAAGCGUUAAUCGGAAUUACUGGGCGUACAGCGCGCGUAGGUGGUUCAGCAAGUUGGAGGUGAAAUCACCGGGCUCAACCUGGGAACUGCAUCCAAAACUACUGGGCUAGAGUACGGUAGAGGGGAGUGGAAUUUCCUGUGUAGCGGUGAAAUGCGUAGAUAUAGGAAGGAACACCAGUGGCGAAGGCGACUACCUGGACUGAUACUGACACUGAGGUGCGAAAGCGUGGGGAGCAAACAGGAUUAGAAACCCCAGUAGUCC